rnacentral:sRNA from 1 species
GCAAGUGUAUUUUCUUUAACUUGACCACCUAGCAUAAUUGUUUUAAUACCUUUUUUAAGUAAAGCUUCUACAUGUGUUAAACCAUUGGUUACCACAAUGAUAUCUUUCGCUUGAAUAUAUUUAAUUAGCUCCAAUGUAGAUGAACCAGCAUCGAUAAAUAAGCAUUCAUUAUCGUUGAUUUGAUUAGCUGCUAUUUUAGCAAUCAUUUUCUUUUCAUCAAGAUUCGUUGCUAAUUUUUCAGU